CUAAAGUUUAAUUGCACAAUAAUUAAAUAAUGUGGAAAAAGUUAUAACUAUUAUAUUCAACCACUAAUUUUCUUAGUAUCCUUGUGUAUGUAUACUGUCUGUCUCUGUGAAUAGUGUGUUGGAUUGUUAUUUGUUUAAAUAUCGGUGCUUUUAUAAGAUAACGUAUUUAUGGAGUAUCCUUGCAUUAAUUACUUUUAAGUGUAGAAAUGAAGUCAGACCGCGUCAACAUGCCAUUGCCUGCGACUCGUAUGGCAGCUGGCAACACAGAACCUGUGACACAGCUACCGUGCAGGGGGUAUGUCUGCAAGUUCCUUGCUAAAAAAGAUGAGCACCAUUUACAAACCCAGGCUCACUACAACAGUUCACGAGGAGGAAUAAUUGUGAUAAAAACAUUAACUAGCAUAGGAGAGGAUUUGACUUCUUGAUAUUGUGUAGCUGGAACACUUUGAAUUAUUAUAUUGUGAAUUUGACUUCUUGGUGUAGAACAGUGAAUGAAUAGUGCGAUAUGUGAUUUUUACUUAAUAACUAUGCAGUUGUGACUGUUCUGAUGUUUUAUUAGUGUUUUAUAAAUAAAGUUAUAACUCUGA